rnacentral:rRNA from 1 species
UACGUAGGGCGCAAGCGUUGUCCGGAAUUAUUGGGCGUAAAGAGCUCGUAGGCGGCUUGUCACGUCGGGUGUGAAAGCCCGGGGCUUAACCCCGGGUCUGCAUUCGAUACGGGCUGGCUAGAGUGUGGUAGGGGAGAUCGGAAUUCCUGGUGUAGCGGUGGAAUGCGUAGAGAUCCGGAGGAAGACCGGUGGCGAAGGCGGCCUGCUGGGCAGUUACUGACACUGAGGCGCGACAGCGUGGGGAGCAAACAGG